AUACGUAGGGGGCGAGCGUUGUCCGGACUGAUUGGGCGUAAAGGGCGCGUAGGCGGCCUUGCAAGUCAGUAGUGGAAGUCCAUUUUUCAAGGAUGGAAGUGCUACAGAAACUGCGGAGCUUGAGUGCAGGAGAGGUUAUCGGAAUUCCCGGUGUAGCGGUGAAAUGCGUAGAGAUCGGGAGGAACACCAGUGGCGAAGGCGGGUAACUGGACUGCAACUGACGCUGAGGCGCGAAAGUGUGGGGAGCAAACAGGAUUAGAUACCCUGGUAGUCCACACUGUAAACGAUGAAUGCUAGGUGUAGGAGGUAUCGACCCCUUCUGUGCCGCAGUAAACACAGUAAGCAUUCCGCCUGGGGAGUACGGUCGCAAGAUUAAAACUUAAAGGAAUUGGCGGGG
rnacentral:rRNA from 1 species